GAUGAACGCUGGCGGCGUGCCUAAUACAUGCAAGUCGAGCGAACGGACGAGAAGCUUGCUUCUCUGAUGUUAGCGGCGGACGGGUGAGUAACACGUGGAUAACCUACCUAUAAGACUGGGAUAACUUCGGGAAACCGUAGCUAAUACCGGAUAAUAUUUUGAACCGCAUGGUUCAAAAGUGAAAGACGGUCUUGCUGUCACUUAUAGAUGGAUCCGCGCUGCAUUAGCUAGUUGGUAAGGUAACGGCUUACCAAGGCAACGAUGCAUAGCCGACCUGAGAGGGUGAUCGGCCACACUGGAACUGAGACACGGUCCAGACUCCUACGGGAGGCAGCAGGAGGGAAUCUUCCGCAAUGGGCGAAAGCCUGACGGAGCAACGCCGCGUGAGUGAUGAAGGUCUUCGGAUCGUAAAACGCUGUUAUUAGGGAAGAACAUAUGUGUAAGUAACUGUGCACAUCUUGACGGUACCGAAUCAGAAAGCCACGGCUAACUACGU
rnacentral:rRNA from 1 species